ACGAGAGGCCCUAGUUGAUAUGCUCGGCGUAAAGAGUGGUUAUGGGAGUAUAACAAUAAAGCAAAAGGCCCUUCAAGCAGUCAUACGCACUCAAGGCCCCGAAACACUAGUACGAAAGUCGCUUUACCACACCCACCAGAGCCCACGACAGCCGGGAAACAAACUGGGAUUAGAUACCCCACUAUGCCCCGCCGUAAACUUAGAUGUAAAAACACAACAAACAUCCGCCAGGGAACUACGAGCGUCAGCUUAAAACCCAAAGGACUUGGCGGUGCUUCAAACCCCCCUAGAGGAGCCUGUUCUAGAACCGAUAACCCCCGUUCAACCUCACCAUUUCUAGCUUUUUCCGCCUAUAUACCGCCGUCGCCAGCUUACCCUGUGAAGGUAUUACAGUAAGCAAAACAAGCAUGCCUUAAAACGUCAGGUCGAGGUGUAGCGAACGAAAUGGAAAGAAAUGGGCUACAUUAUCUGAAACAGAUUACUAACAAACGGUCCCCUGAAAUAAAGACCCAAAGGUGGAUUUAGCAGUAAAGAGGGAAUAGAGUGCCCCCUUGAAGCCGGCCCUGAAGCGCGCACACACCGCCCGUCACUCUCCCCGACAACUAACCCAACUUUAUGUAACUUAACAAAACAACAACAACAAGGGGAGGCAAGUCGU
rnacentral:rRNA from 1 species